rnacentral:rRNA from 1 species
AAGCUCGUAGUUGAAUUUCGGGAUCAGUUUGUUGGUCGUGCUUCGGUACGUACUGUCAUUACUGGUUUCUACCUUCUGAAGAACCUUGAUGUCAUUAAUUUGGUGUCUUGGGGAAUCAGGACUGUUACUUUGAAAAAAUUAGAGUGUUUAAAGCAAGCAUACGCUUGAAUACAUUAGCAUGGAAUAACGAAAUAGGACGUUUGAUUCUAUUUUGUUGGUUUCUAGGAUCGACGUAAUGAUUAAUAGGGAUAGUUGGG